UAAGGAUACUGAAAUCCAUCCGGGGAGAUACUCGCCAAAAAUCACAGCCGCAGUUCUAAAGGCCACAUGUGGGAUUUGUGUUGACCAAUGAUAGAACGCUGCAUCUCACAAAAUAACAAAUGUGGUCAUGACAAGAAGAAUGAGAGAAACAGGACCAAGCAGUGUCCAGCCAGUCUGUUGCAGAUAUUGGUGGACACUUUUGCUAACAGAGGAGUUGGGGCAGUUGGUGACAGCAGUAGAUCCUUGGCAUCAGAUUCAGAUAAACUCCAAUCAUCUCCUGUGGUAUGUUUAAAAUAGCAUUGAGAGGGUAAAACCAAGACCUCUGUGUGUUUUCUCUCCAGUUGUGAACUGAAUAAUAGCAUUGUAUUCUUAUUUUUUUUUUCCUACCUCCAUUCUUGUCAGAAUAUCAGAAAACAAUUCCCUACUCCCUGGUGAUAAAAAAGCGGAUAACUUUCCACCUGAAAUCUGGUUUCCUCUUGUUCACUGCUUCAGAGAUUCCUGUAGGUAAGAAAUACUACUCACACUGCAGCUCUGAUAGGUCUGGAGACUCGGGGUUCAAACUUCCAGCAGCCACGCGCAAGAAUUUUGUCACAUAAAUGUCACAUGAGCAUUUAAAUAAUACAGCAGAAACACUUUUGCUAUCAAUGGAAUGACGUAAGCAUUAUGGUUUUGGCGGCCCUACCAUUUAGGAGUGUCUACCAUAUUUUCACAUGUAUUUUCUCAGUUUAUAGAACAUACUUUUUGGGUAAGUAUUAUCAACCUCAUUAGACAGUUGAAGAAUAUGAGGUGGAAACAGGUGUAGGCCAUAGAGCUAAGAGUUGUAAAAUUUA
rnacentral:lncRNA from 1 species